UAGCAUAUCAAUAAGCGGAGGAAAAGAAACUAACAAGGAUUCCCCUAGUAACUGCGAGUGAAGCGGGAAAAGCUCAAAUUUAAAAUCUGGCAGUCUUUGGCUGUCCGAGUUGUAAUCUAGAGAAGUGUUAUCCGCGCUGGACCGUGUACAAGUCUCCUGGAAUGGAGCGUCAUAGAGGGUGAGAAUCCCGUCUUUGACACGGACUACCAGGGCUUUGUGAUGCGCUCUCAAAGAGUCGAGUUGUUUGGGAAUGCAGCUCAAAAUGGGUGGUAAAUUCCAUCUAAAGCUAAAUAUUGGCGAGAGACCGAUAGCGAACAAGUACCGUGAGGGAAAGAUGAAAAGAACUUUGGAAAGAGAGUUAAACAGUACGUGAAAUUGCUGAAAGGGAAACGCUUGAAGUCAGUCGCGUCGUCCAGGGAUCAACCUUGCUUUUGCUUGGUGCACUUUCUGGUUGACGGGUCAGCAUCAAUUUUGACCAUUGGAAAAAUAUCAAGGGAAUGUGACAUCUUUGGAUGUGUUAUAGCCCUUGGUUGUAUACGAUGGUUGGGAUUGAGGAACUCAGCACGCCGCAAGGCCGGGUUUUUAACCACGUACGUGCUUAGGAUGCUGGCAUAAUGGCUUUAAUCGACCCGUCUUGAAACACGGACCAAGGAGUCUAACAUGCCUGCGAGUGUUUGGGUGGAAAACUCGAGCGCGUAAUGAAAGUGAAAGUUGAGAUCCCUGUCGUGGGGAGCAUCGACGCCCGGACCAGACCUUUUGUGACGGUUCCGCGGUAGAGCAUGUAUGUUGGGACCCGAAAGAUGGUGAACUAUGCCUGAAUAGGGUGAAGCCAGAGGAAACUCUGGUGGAGGCUCGUAGCGAUUCUGACGUGCAAAUCGAUCGUCAAAUUUGGGUAUAGGGGCGAAAGACUAAUCGAACCAUC
rnacentral:rRNA from 1 species